rnacentral:rRNA from 1 species
CCUGGCUCAGGACAAACGCUGGCGGCGUGCCUAACACAUGCAAGUCGAACGAAGCACAUCGGAAAGAGGACUUCGGGUCAAUGGGAUGGUGUGACUUAGUGGCGGACGGGUGAGUAAUGCAUGAGCAACCUGCCUUGGAGUGGGGGACAACAGUUGGAAACGACUGCUAAUACCGCAUGAUGUCGUUGGAGGGCAUCCUUCGACGACCAAAGAUUUAUCGCUCUGAGAUGGGCUCAUGUCUGAUUAGCCAGUUGGCGGGGUAACGGCCCACCAAAGCUACGAUCAGUAGCCGGACUGAGAGGUUGAACGGCCACAUUGGGACUGAGAUACGGCCCAGACUCCUACGGGAGGCAGCAGUGGGGAAUAUUGGGCAAUGGGCGCAAGCCUGACCCAGCAACGCCGCGUGAAGGAAGAAGGCCUUCGGGUUGUAAACUUCUUUACCAGGGACGAAAUAAAUGACGGUACCUGGAGAAUAAGCCACGGCUAACUACGUGCC